rnacentral:rRNA from 1 species
AGUGAACGCUGGCGGUAGGCCUAACACAUGCAAGUCGAACGGCAGCACAGUAAGAGCUUGCUCUUACGGGUGGCGAGUGGCGGACGGGUGAGGAAUACAUCUGAAUCUACUUUUUCGUGGGGGAUAACGUAGGGAAACUUACGCUAAUACCGCAUACGACCUACGGGUGAAAGCAGGGGAUCUUCGGACCUUGCGCGAUUGAAUGAGCCGAUGUCGGAUUAGCUAGUUGGCGGGGUAAAGGCCCACCAAGGCGACGAUCCGUAGCUGGUCUGAGAGGAUGAUCAGCCAAACUGGAACUGAGACACGGUCCAGACUCCUACGGGAGGCAGCAGUGGGGAAUAUUGGACAAUGGGGGCAAGCCUGAUCCAGCCAUACCGCGUGGGUGAAGAAGGCCUUCGGGUUGUAAAGCCCUUUUGUUGGGAAAGAAAAGCAGCAGGUUAAUACCCCGCUGUUCUGACGGUACCCAAAGAAUAAGCACCGGCUAACUUCGUG